rnacentral:rRNA from 1 species
UGUGGAUAGCGGAGAAAUUCCAAUCGAACCCGGAUAUAGCUGGUUCUCCCCGAAAUAGUUUUAGGACUAGCCUCGUGAUUAAGAUUAUCGGAGGUAAAGCACUGAAUGGCCUAGGGGUCGAGAGAUUACCGAAGCCUAUCAAACUCUGAAUGCCGAAUAAUCAUGCACGGGAGUCAGACUGUGUGAGAUAAGUUUCAUAGUCGAAAGGGAAACAGCCCAGACCUACAGCUAAGGUCCCAAAGUACGUUUAAGUGGAAAACGAUGUGAAAUUGCGUAGACAACCAGGAUGUUGGCUUAGAAGCAGCCAUACAUUAAAAGAGUGCGUAAUAGCUCACUGGUCGAGUGACUUUGCGCGGAAAAUUUAACGGGGCUAAAACGUACACCGAAGCUUAGGCUUGUCACAAUGUGACAGGGGUAGGGGAGCGUUGAAUGAGGGGUGAAGUCGUAGCGAAAGCGACGGUGGACUUCAUUCAAGUGAGAAUGCCGGAAUGAGUAGCGAGAAUUAUGUGAGAAUCAUAAUGGCCGAAAGCCUAAGGUUUUUGGAGGAAGGUUCGUCCGCUCCAAGUAAGUCGGAAGCUAAGGUGAGGCUGAAAAGCGUAGCCGAUGCACAAACGGUUGAAAUUCCGUUACCACAGAAAGAUUUAAACUAAGGGACACUUUUGAAGAGCUGAUGCCGGGUGUUGGUUACCCCGGUCGUAAGGGAACGAAAUUAAGUAGUGAAGUCAGCGUGGAUGAAGGCGAGAAAAGCUUAGUGUAUAUCUUAUGUGUCCGUACCGCAAACCGACACAGGUAGGUAGGAAGAGAAUUCUAAGGCCAACGGGAGAAGGGUAGUUAAGGAACUCGGCAAAAUGUCCCCGUAACUUCGGAAUAAGGGGAGGUUUCUACGGAAACCCGCAGAGAAUAGUCCCAGGCAACUGUUUAUCAAAAACACAGCUCUAUGCUAAAUCGAAAGAUGACGUAUAUGGGGUGACGCCUGCCCGGUGCCGGAAGGUUAAGAGGAGGAGUGAGAGCCCUGAAUCGAAGCCCCGGUAAACGGCGGCCGUAACAAUAACGGUCCUAAGGUAGCGAAAUUCCUUGUCAGGUAAGUUCUGACCCGCACGAAUGGCGUAAUGAUCUGGGAGCUGUCUCAACUGCCCGCCCGGCGAAAUUGUAGUACCGGUGAAGAUGCCGGUUACCCGCGACUAGACGGAAAGACCCCAUGGAGCUUUACUGUAGCUUAAUAUUGGAUUUCGGCAUUUCAUGUACAGGAUAGGUGGGAGACUAGGAAACAUAGGCGUCAGCUUAUGCGGAGUCGUCCUUGGGAUACCACUCUUGGAGUGCUGAAAUUCUAACCUGCAGCCCUGAAUCGGGUUGGGGGACAUUGUUAGGUGGGCAGUUUGACUGGGGCGGUCGCCUCCAAAAAGGUAACGGAGGCGCUCAAAGGUUGGCUCAGCAUGGAUGGAAACCAUGCCAUAGAGUGCAAACGCAAAAGCCAGCCUGACUGCGAGACUGACGGGUCGAGCAGAAACGAAAGUUGGAGUUAGUGAUCCGGCGGUAUGUGAAUGGAAAUGCCGUCGCUCAACGGAUAAAAGCUACCCUGGGGAUAACAGGCUGAUCU